UAGGGAAUCUUCGGCAAUGGACGAAAGUCUGACCGAGCAACGCCGCGUGAGUGAAGAAGGUUUUCGGAUCGUAAAACUCUGUUGGUAGAGAAGAACGUUGGUGAGAGUGGAAAGCUCAUCAAGUGACGGUAACUACCCAGAAAGGGACGGCUAACUACGUGCCAGCAGCCGCGGUAAUACGUAGGUCCCGAGCGUUGUCCGGAUUUAUUGGGCGUAAAGCGAGCGCAGGUGGUUUAUUAAGUCUGGUGUAAAAGGCAGUGGCUCAACCAUUGUAUGCAUUGGAAACUGGUAGACUUGAGUGCAGGAGAGGAGAGUGGAAUUCCAUGUGUAGCGGUGAAAUGCGUAGAUAUAUGGAGGAACACCGGUGGCGAAAAGCGGCUCUCUGGCCUGUAACUGACACUGAGGCUCGAAAGCGUGGGGGAGCAAAACA
rnacentral:rRNA from 1 species